rnacentral:rRNA from 1 species
UACGUAGGGGGCUAGCGUUGUCCGGAAUCAUUGGGCGUAAAGCGCACGUAGGCGGAUCGUUAAGUCAGGGGUGAAAUCCUGGAGCUCAACUCCAGAACUGCCUUUGAUACUGGCGAUCUUGAGUCCGAAAGAGGUGAGUGGAACUCCUAGUGUAGAGGUGGAAUUCGUAGAUAUUAGGAAGAACACCAGUGGCGAAGGCGGCUCACUGGUCCGGUACUGACGCUGAGGUGCGAAAGCGUGGGGAGCAAACAGG